GCAUGAAGGUCCUGAAUACAGAACAAAAUGUAUGAAUGGUACCGAAACUGAGAGAGGUGACUGCGUGGAGACAAGAACUGAGGGUCGUGUAGACCUGUGUAAGGGUUCAAGUCUGAGUGAACCAGAAGUUUCCAGAAGAGAAGCAGCUUCAUCUAAACCCUCCACAUCCCACCCUCACCCCUCUUCCACACUCCCCUAGCAAAGGAGAGAAAAAUCACUCUGGCUGUAUAGGUGGGAGGGCGAAAGCAGGGAGAUCCAUAGGAGAUCCGCGGAGUGCAGGCAAGAUGAUACUGGCUUUGAAGGGCGGCACAACAAAUAAUACCAUUUUGACCAAAACAGUAGUUUGAACUGACGGCACUUAAAGAGCACCAGGUGGCUGCCUAGGCGGUUGGCAGUCGGCUCCGCGGUGCCCUCUCCUCGGCCCGGCCUCCCGCCCCCACGCGCGCAUCCAUUUCCCAACGCCUCUCCCCUAGCUCUCUUCCGCGCUUUCAGGGAGCGGUCCCCACUUGUAGAAAGAGGGACGGCGGAGAGAAAACGAGGCAUCUUGAAACUCGCUGCCCCGAUGCCAGCCGACACAAAGGCCGGGCCGCAGCCACCCCGCAGGAUUGCCGGGUCCUCGCACCCGCACUUGGCGCCCUGGCGGCGAGCACACCGGUCUCUUCAAAGGGGCUUCCGACGAGUUCGGACGACCUCACCUUGGGCGUCUCAGUGUGGUGUUGCGGCAUUUCCAGAAAAAGUAAGGUCCCCGGCCGCUUGGUGGCGCGCACCCUUCGAUAGCUCAGCUGGUAGAGCGGAGGACUGUAGAUCUGACACGUGUGGUCAUCCUUAGGUCGCUGGUUCGAUUCCGGCUCGAAGGAGGUGCUGGUUGCUUUUGCUCCCCAGUGAAAAGCAGGGGAGGUUCUCACCAGGUCCCCCGAUCUGAAGCCUCCACCUUCAGUGCCUCCCACCACGUGGCCUACUUCGAAGCUUCUGCCAAACUGCGCCUCAACGUGGAUGAGGCCUUCGAGCAGCUGGUGCGGGCCGUCCAGUGAGCUGAGCCCCCUUCCCGUGAUCCUCCUCGUCCCCUAAGCCCCUGCUCUACCCAAACUCACCAGCCGAUGGCAGUGUGGCUCUCUGAAACCUCAGGGGCCCGCAGCUGCCGUCCCCGACCCCUGAGGCCUUUUUUGGUUCUGGUUCUGAUUGAAGGCAGGAAGAGAAGGGGAAGGCAGAGGAUGAGAUGGUUGGAUGGCAUCACCGGCUCAAUGGACAUGAGUUUGAGUAGGCUCCAGGAGUUGGUGAAAGACAGGGAAGCCUGGCGUGCUGCAGUCCAUGGGGUCGCAAAGAGUCUGUCACUACUGAGCGCCUGAACUGAACUGAACUGAACUGCCUCUCAAACUGGAGACUGUUUCUGCUUCCUCUCCUGGCAAACUCCCGUGGUCACACCCCCACCCCCACCCCCUGUUGGUCUCAGCCCUUCUAAUCGUCCCACUGCUAAUAUGCGCCGACCUGGAGUCUUUGGAGUCUGCCCGGGCCUAGAGGGCUGUGCCGCUGCAGUCUGACCGGUGCCCUUCCAGAAAGGUCCGUUGCUCUGCGGAUGCAGAGACCCCAGCCUCGAAUGAUACCAUCUGUAAAGACCAGCAGAUGGGGCCAAAAAAAAGAACCUUAGGCUUUUGUUGGAUCUAUUCCCGAAGGGAUGUGGAGGUGUAGAAUCCAUGGGGACCUGGGUUUGGGGAAGUGGGAAGGGGUGUGGGUUUUGGUUACCAGCAUGGCCAACUAUUCUGGUCCGGGUGUCACAGAAACUGGCAGGGAUGCUCUGAGGCACUGUCCCCCAACCUCAAAGGGGCAGAGGUGCCCGCUGCCUGGUCAGGGAGUGGCAACACACUGGGCUGAGGGAAGGCCACUUCACUGUGGCUUGCUGUGCCUCUGGAGGACUUUUGCUGGGUGGGCUAGCGAUCUUGGGUGGUGGACACACACCAGUGGGAUCUGAAAUGUUUGUAGAGUCCAACCUGGACACCCGUGCCCUCUGCCCCUCCCUCUGGACUCCAGCCCCGUCUCCAGGAAGUCCACAGAACCUUGACCUCUUCCAGGAAGCAGCCCCUUAUGUCC
ensembl:lncRNA